rnacentral:rRNA from 1 species
GAUGAACGCUGGCGGCGUGCCUAAUACAUGCCAGUCGAGCGAACGGACGAGAAGCUUGCUUCUCUGAUGUUAGCGGCGGACGGGUGAGUAACACGUGGAUAACCUACCUAUAAGACUGGGAUAACUUCGGGAAACCGUAGCUAAUACCGGAUAAUAUUUUGAACCGCAUGGUUCAAAAGUGAAAGACGGUCUUGCUGUCACUUAUAGAUGGAUCCGCGCUGCAUUAGCUAGUUGGUAAGGUAACGGCUUACCAAGGCAACGAUGCAUAGCCGACCUGAGAGGGUGAUCGGCCACACUGGAACUGAGACACGGUCCAGACUCCUACGGGAGGCAGCAGUAGGGAAUCUUACGCAAUGGGCGAAAGCCUGACGGAGCAACGCCGCGUGAGUGAUGAAGGUCUUCGGAUCGUAAAACUCUGUUAUUAGGGAAGAACAUAUGUGUAAGUAACUGUGCACAUCUUGACGGUACCUAAUCAGAAAGCCACGGCUAACUACGUG